GACGGGCCGAUAGCUCAGCUGGGAGAGCGCUGCGUUCGCAAUGCAGAGGUCGGGAGUUCGAUCCUCCUUCGGUCCA
rnacentral:tRNA from 1 species